GAGGUGACGCGACCGAGAGCCUCCUGGGCGCGCUCGCACUCGCCCUGCUUCCGCCGCCGCGCCGACAACUCGUCCACCGAACGACGCCACCGGCUCAUGAUGUCAUCGCCGUGCUGCCGGGGAGCAGGGCAGUGCGGCAGUAAAGAUGGCCGUCAUCACAAGGAGAGCACAUUGAACCACAUAAUAAACUACCAGAAGAAACGCAUUCCAGUCCAGAUCUUACCUCUCUUCAGCGCGAUAAAGUGACCGAAGAUGAAACAUACGGUCUAUCUUCAUUUUUUACUGCAGAAAUUAUUUCACUUUUCUAGAAAAUCCAUUUGUUUGUGUUCACAAAGCAUCAGUGAAGCAUUUGUCUUUGUGCAGCGCUUUAAGCUCAAACUGGGUGUCGGACUGCUCUUUAAAAUUGAACAAAUAAAGAAAUAAAGUUUUCUGCUGGAAGGAUUUCCGCAAUCUGGCAAAUCACAGAUCAUUUUUAUGAUUGACUUAUUAAACAUGGGAUGUUAAAGAUUACAUUAUAUUUGAAGCUGCCAGCAAUGGUAAAUAAUAUAUCUGCACUUUAUAUAAUUUACAAAUUUAUAAACUUUAAAAUCAGAGAUAAGUUUAAAGUUGUAUAUUGAGUGUUGUCCUACCUGCCGCUGAUCACGACUCCAUCGACCGGCUAUUCUUUCUGCAGGAGGACGGUGCGACGUCAGGCAGGUUUCUAUAAACAAUCUUCUUUUCCUCUCAGGGGACGUCACUGUUUUUUAAUUAACGCCAGCUGAGGUCCUCCCAUGAGCCUCUUGAUUCUACCCUCAGCCCUUCUCUUGCAGGCAAACCAACUCCAACAGGGAAUUACCUGUCCAGGUGGACUAGGUUACGUUAGGGUUAUUUACAAACAGAAUAACCCAGGUACUGUUCUAGUCUUUUCCAUCCCUUUAAUGUUGCUGUCGUCCUGUUAAAGAUGUUUGUAAAGGUUUAAUGGUUGUUAAAAAACCAAAAAGAAGUUUAUGAGAAAUUGAUUCUACCUCUUUCUUGAUUUAUUCGCUCGGUAAACGUUGUAAACAUGGGUUUAUGGUCUCAAUCUCUAGCUUCAAGUCUUCUUCUGUUGUUCAUUUAGUAAUUACCUUAAGCCCUCUUUAAUAAGUUUAGUACAUUAAGUUAUAACCUAAUGUACUAAGAACAGCAAGUUGUACUAUCAGAAGUAAGAUUAACUGUUCGUGUUAUAUUUAUGUCA